CUUUUACAUUUUCUUGCCUGAGUCUGAGGUGAACAGUGAACAUAUUUACAUUUGAUUUAACAGUGAACCUUAAUUCUUUCUGGCUUCACAGUGAAACAAGUUUAUGCAAUCGAUCAAAUAUUUUCAUCCCUGAGGUUAACAAUUACCAUCAAAAUGUUUUGUGGAGACUAUCCCUAGAAUUAACCACUUCUCCAAAACGCCCUGAUUCCUUCCAUUGAAGACCGAUAUUUAAAACCAAGAUCUGGAUACUAGUUAUACUCAUUGCUACUGGGGUAUCACUGUUUAUAUGCCCUCUUAAGAGUACAGAGCAAAAAAUAUGUGUGUAUACUAACCCAUUUAUCUGCACACAUCUAUAUUUACUUUUGUACAUGUGUAUGCAUAUAUGUUUGCAUGUAUGCAUGUCUCCAUCUACCUUCCUACUUAUCGAUUUCUCUGUCUCUAUCCAUACAUCUAUCUACCAUCUAUCUUCAUACUAAUACCUCCAAUCUAAUCAACAACACCGUUCUAACCUUCACCAUUAUUUGUUACUUCUUUCUCAGACAGUGAAAACUAAGACUAUCAAUAUCUGAAACCUGUUUGCUUAUUUGUUUAACCCUACCAUACAUGUAGUUUAAAACUUGCUAAGCCAUUACUCUGUGAGAAACAACUUUACCAAGAGGAGUACAUUGUUUGGAUUAUUUUUAUUUUUAGCUUUACAGUUCAGUCAAAACACUAUUUUCUAAAGUUACUUAGGGCACAUCCCCUCUCUCCACUGAGCUUAUUGUGGUUAUGAGAUUUAUUUGUUAUAUAAAUAGAUAAAUUUGCUACAAACUGCAUUUUCUGUUGGGUUUUCCAUACAUCUUUGUUGAUUUUGUUAAACUUACAUUUAACAAAAUGUGCUUUUUGUGGUAUACAAUUUUAUGAUUUAAGUCAUGUAUCCAAUGCCACAUUUCCUUAUAGAAGACUUCCAUUAUCCAAAAAUUCCACCACACUGCCUGCCUGUAGUCAGCUACCGACCCCAAACUCCAAACUCUGGCAAAUAUUGCACUGUUUGCUGCUGCUAUAGUUUCACCUUCUCCAGAAUGUCAUGGGAACAGAGUCAUAAACUAUUGAACCUUUUGGACAUGGCUUCCUCCGCUUAGUAGAAACAUUUAACCCUAAUUCAUAUUGUAUUAAUCAUUAGUUCUGCCAUUUUAUUGCUGAGUCACUGUCUCUUGUAUGGAUGUACCACAAUUUGUUUAUCUGUUCACAGUUUGAAUGGAUAAACUGUGAAUGGAUGAACUGUGGGUUGUUUCAGGAUUUAGUGAUUAUAAAUAAAGCUGCUCUAAACAUAUCAAGUUAAAGUUUUUGAGUGCAGUUAUGUUUCCAUUUCUUUUGCGUAAACACUUAGAAGCAAGAUUGCUAGGUCAUAUGGUAACAGUACGUUUAGCUUUAGAAAAAACUGGCAAACUGUUUUCCCAAAGUGACUAUACAAUUUUGCAUUCUCACCAGCAAUAUAUUACAGUAGAAUAUCAUUGUAGUUUUACUUUGAAUUUCUUUAUGGGUAAUGAUAUUGAUCAUAUCUUCAUGUGCUCAUUUACUAUACCGUCAUUGUGAAUGUGUUUGUUUAAAA
rnacentral:lncRNA from 1 species